CUUUUGCUUGUCCUCAAGCAAAACAAACAGGUAGUCUCUCUGAAAGAGGUUUGAAAACAGCAGGGACUCACAUGAUUUAAAACUUAGAAUCAUCACCUCUACAAUAUUGCAAUCCACAUCUAAGAAGUCCUAAUCACAAAAGCAUAUUAUAUCAUAUCCUAGCUUAGCAACCAAAUUCCCCUAGCCAACAACUUAGCAAAUCUUGUUUGACAUUCCCUU
rnacentral:lncRNA from 1 species